GUGUUUUAUGAAAGUGAAGAAUUAGGUUGGCACUCUUCUUGACAAGAAUGGAAAACAUUUUAGUGACCUACAUCAGACACAUACGUUGAAGCUAUCACUACCUCUUUAGAGCACCUAACAGUAAUUUUU